AAUUCUGUUUGUAGACAUGAAGGCAGUGUUCUUAAAGCAAUGCACUUUGUUCUGAGCAUCUCUGUUCAUUUAGCAGCCCAAACCUGCUCCCACCUUUCAGUUCACUUUGAAGACUCAUUGUGAGACCCUUCAGGAAUAAUAUCUGCACCUUCAUAUCUCUCUGUGCGUUUGAUUUAAGCUCUUUGGAAUUAUCUCAUCUUGUGAAAUCAUCUCUCUUGAUAAUAGAUGCAUUCAAAGAGAACAGAAAAAUCAUCURCCUCAGAAAUAUAUCCCAUGUGUAUUCAGAAGACAACUUAGCGCGUCUCUGUAAAUCAGCAAGUUAUGUAGGGAACAGGUUGUAGGAUGACCACAAAAUUGUUGUACAGAUUUUAUUUGUCUCCUGCAAUGUUGCCAGACCUGGACACUUCCAAAGCAAAAUCAAACACAGACUGAUGCUCUCUGAAGAGAAAUAAACUGAAAUUUAUAUGCAAAGCAAAUACAACAUCAGACGCAAAGCCAUCAGACAUCAUUUGGAAGAAGGAAAGUAUUUUGUUUUUUACUGGCUUCGAGACUGUUAUGGAAAAGAAGAUAGAGGAAGGCCAAAAGAUUGCCAAAGUAUUUCCACAUUGAAUGGAAAAUUAUGUUUUGUCCUGGACUAUUAGACAAGUGCAUAAGGCAAUGUAGAUCUCUUUUUUUGUUGUUUUUAUUGUUCAAGAAGAACCUGGAGUUUCUGAACCAGAAACAUAAAAAGUACAUAAGUGCAGUGAUACCACGUUUAAUGUACUCGCAGAAA